GAUGAACGCUAGCUACAGGCUUAACACAUGCAAGUCGAGGGGAAACGGCAUUAAGUGCUUGCACUUUUUGGACGUCGACCGGCGCACGGGUGAGUAACGCGUAUCCAACCUUCCCAUGACUAAGGGAUAACCUGCCGAAAGGCAGACUAAUACCUUAUGGUCUUCACUGACGGCAUCAGAUGUGAAGUAAAGAUUUAUCGGUUAUGGAUGGGGAUGCGUCUGAUUAGCUUGUUGGCGGGGUAACGGCCCACCAAGGCAACGAUCAGUAGGGGUUCUGAGAGGAAGGUCCCCCACAUUGGAACUGAGACACGGUCCAAACUCCUACGGGAGGCAGCAGUGAGGAAUAUUGGUCAAUGGGCGAGAGCCUGUACCAGCCAAGUAGCGUGCAGGAAGACGGCCCUAUGGGUUGUAAACUGCUUUUGUAUGGGGAUAAAGUCAAUCACGUGUGAUUGUUUGCAGGUACCAUACGAAUAAGGACCGGCUAAUUCCGUGCCAGCAGCCGCGGUAAUACGGAAGGUCCGGGCGUUAUCCGGAUUUAUUGGGUUUAAAGGGAGCGUAGGCUGGAGAUUAAGUGUGUUGUGAAAUGUAGACGCUCAACGUCUGACUUGCAGCGCAUACUGGUUUCCUUGAGUACGCACAACGUUGGCGGAAUUCGUCGUGUAGCGGUGAAAUGCUUAGAUAUGACGAAGAACUCCGAUUGCGAAGGCAGCUGACGGGAGCGCAACUGACGCUGAAGCUCGAAGGUGCGGGUAUCGAACAGGAUUAGAUACCCUGGUAGUCCGCACAGUAAACGAUGGAUGCCCGCUGUUGGUACCUGGUAUCAGCGGCUAAGCGAAGCAUUAAGCAUCCCA
rnacentral:rRNA from 1 species